rnacentral:rRNA from 1 species
UACGGAGGAUGCGAGCGUUGUCCGGAAUCAUUGGGCGUAAAGGGCGCGUAGGUGGCUUCUCAAGCGUGCGGUGAAAGCCUGGGGCUCAACCCCGGGUCGGCCGUGCGAACUGGGGGGCUGGAGCACUGUAGAGGCAGGCGGAAUUCCGGGUGUAGCGGUGGAAUGCGUAGAGAUCCGGAAGAACACCGGUGGCGAAGGCGGCCUGCUGGGCAGUUGCUGACACUGAGGCGCGACAGCGUGGGGAGCAAACAGG